rnacentral:lncRNA from 1 species
UGAGGAGGGAAGCAGCUGCCUCUGCUACAUCCAUGUAAACAUCAUACAGUAGUGUAUUACCUGGAUGAGUAUACUUAGAUAAAUUGUUGGUAAAAUGACAAACACAAGUUCCCAGGCAAGAAUAGCCAACACUCCAAAACUGGCAUAAGCAUUCAUAGCUGCCCCAACAGCAAAAGUAAAUUUGAAGGCCACAUCAAGGUCAACCACACUCAAAUCAGAAGAUACCUGCAAAAAGGCAAUAAAAAAAUAAGUCUUCUGUUCUUUGCAAUAGGCAUUUAUUUUAAGCAUCUUACCCGACUGAGUAUCCUUCCCAGAGGUGUUGAGUCAUAAAAGGACAUUGGUGCUCGAAAAAGAGAGCUCAGCAGUGUAGAGAAAAUAGAUUGUGAUGCCUCAAGGCCUAAAAGAACAACAAAAAAAGACCGGAGCAACAAAAAGAGUGAUAAGCUUAAUCCGAUCCCUGUGUAAACUGCAAUCAGUUUCAAUUGGCUAACACUAGAAUUCUGGACAUUUGCAGCCAACCAAUAGUUUUGCACCAACUGUCCAACAAUGAAUAUGACAUGAGAUAGAGUUGCCAAAAAGAAGUACAAGAAUCCCUUGCUGUAUUUCAAGUAUUGUAGGUAAGGCUUGAGACCAGUGUCUCCAAUUUCUCUUUCUUCUUUCUUAAUUAACUGCUCUCCUGAUGUGUCUCUCAAUUGUUUCUCGGUGUAAAUCUUCUGUAUCUCUCCCUUUGGAAUUUUAGAUUUCUGGGUAGAAUCUUGCUCAGGUUGCCUCUCAGAACCAACUGUGGCAUUGUGUGCAUUAACAAGGUCCUGGAACUCUUGACUAAAGCGCAUCAGUUGCUCAAAGGUAGCAGCUUGCAGGAUCUCCCCUUCGGACAUUAACUGCCAACAGAAUUAGUCAUUUGGACUGCUUGAUUUAAAAGCAUGUGUUACUCAAGGAUUGCCUUCCAGAUGGUGGAAAUUACUUGUUAAGAAAGGAAAAGAAGUCAAAUGAGAGUUAAAGAAGGACAUCCAAGAAAGUAACUGUACUAACCAGAACCGAAUCAAAUGCUGGAAGGAAGUCCACUUGGUGGGUCACAAGUAUGACCGUCUUCGUUGAUAGAGCUCCCAUGACAUAUUCCUGGCCACAACUGGCAUUAGCAUUCACUCUGAAAGCAAUAACAUUAGUAGCAUAAUUUCUAAAAAAGGAGAACCGUACAUACAUUAAAUAGACUGGUUGCAGUAUGUGCAUCGACCGCACUAAAUGGAUCAUCCAGGAGAUAUACAUCUGCAUCCUGAUAUAAUGCGCGUGCGAGUUGAACCCUCUGCUUCUGUCCACCACUCAGAUUAACACCUCUUUCUCCUAUUUCAGUGAGAUCACCAAAUGGAAGCAUCUCAAGGUCCUUCACUAGGGCACACUUCUCAAUAACCUCUCUGUAUCUGUAAGGAUCCAUAGCAGACCCAAACAGAAUAUUUUCUUGUAUGGUACCUGUUGGAAUCCAUGCUGUCUGAGAGACGUAAGCAAUCUUUCCAUAAACUCGAACCUGGAAAAGAUGGAUCCAGAAUCCGUAUUAAGACAUUUGUCUACGUAAGACUCCUAGAACCUUUCGGGGCUCAUGAAGUUUUCUACCUUCCCCUUUUCCCCCCAUGAUGUUAAUAUCUACCAAAUGAAGUGUGUAUAAAUCAGGAAUGAUGCAUUACUUCUUUCACUUUUUAAGUUUGUUUUCUUUUGUAUUCCUAGUUAGGAAACCCUGAAAGAACAUAAAAAUUCCCUGUGGGUUUGUUGUUAUUCCUCUCAGUACAACUGUGCAUAAAGUAGUUGUUGAGUAUUUAUUCUAGUCCAUGGAUGAGGAAGAAAUGGAAUUGAAAGGGGUACUUACUAUGCCAUUAACGUGUGGAACUUCUCCAAGAACAGCAGCUAAUAGUGUCGAUUUACCUGAGCCAACCUCUCCACAAAUUGCUACCUUUUCCCCAGGCUUAACCACCAAAGUUAUGUUCCUUAGCGUAGCCCUUGUAGUGUUAUCCUCCCAUGAAAUUCUGUUGCUCUUGAUAAAAAUGGAUUCCUCCAGCUCCUUCCCAUCACACAUCUUCCUUACAUGUUUGUUCUGCAGCUCUGGUGCAUCAAGAAACUUUGCAAUCCGAUCUAACGAAACCUUGGCCUCAAUGAAUGCUGAAAUGACAUCAGGGAUUAACCUUAUUGGCUCCUGGGCAAGGCGUAAACUUGCCAUAAAUGUGAAAACAUUGGUAGCAGAGAGAGUAGUUCCAAGAAAGUAGCAUGCCCAGAAAGUAACCGCCGAUACUACAAUGGGAGAGGACCAAAACAGAAUCAGAUUGUACCCUCUCUGUGACAGAACUGAUGAUAACCACUUGAAUUCCUCUUUCCUCAACCCUUCUAUGACAUUCUUGAAAUGAGUCUCCCAAGCAUACAGCUUCAGAAUUUUCAUGUUUGUAAGUGCCUCUGUGAAAGUCUUCAGCCUCUUGUCCUGAGUUCCCAUGAGCAUUUUCUGGUACUUGUGUUGUAACUUUCCCAUAGGAGAGUUUGUAACUACAGUCAAUAUUACUACAGACAGAGCUGCUAUAGUUGCAAGCCCCACCGAGUAGUAAAUAAUAAGCAAUGCCAGACACAACUGGAGGCUUGUUGACCAUAUCUGGUGAAACCAGUACGGGUAUUCACCUAUUUUGUAAGCAUCAAUGGUAACAAAGUUAAUGAUCUGACCAGGGGAAUACGACCCCUUUGCAGCAUUUGAGAGCUUAAGCUGCUUCUGAUAGAUGGCUGCAGAUAGAAAUGAUCUCACUUGGAGCCCAAUCAAUCUAGUUCGAAAGAACCAUUGCCUCUCUGAUAACGAUUCUAAGCAUUUAGUAAGGAAGAGCCCUCCUGUCAGUGCAUAACCUUCAUACUCAAAAGCUUCUUUGCCUUCAGCAACCAGGAUGAAGGCUCUAAGAAACAGAGGGCCAGUAGAAAGUGUCAGUACCUUGAUCAAUGCAUAAAAGCCAGAAAACAAAAUUUGUUUCCACUGCCACAACAAUAUAGUUGACAAAAUGGAAGGAGAGUGAGAUGACCGCUUGUUUUUCUGCUUGUUCUGCUGUUCCAUGAACAUUGAGUAACACAUUUCCGCUCGAUCUUCCCUUCUUAGCUGUGGAAUGUCUUUGUCCUCAAGUGUUUUCUCCUUACCCUUCUUGAUCAACGAAUUCAACCACCAAAAUGACAGUCUACUAAUAAGCCCGGCUUUCUGAAAAGGAGGUAAGCUGGCAUCUGAAUUGAUUUUAUCACCACCACUGCCUCCUUCACCAGGCAACGGUGUAUAGAAGCCAGCACCAUCAAUUUCUGAAUCAGUUCCUGCAUAUUUCGGUCCUGAAAAAGUGGAGAACAUCGAUAGAAUUGCUCCAGGAAAAGAUAUAACAUCUAAAAUCAUCUUGACUGAUACUGCAUCGCUCACAAUAGCUUCCCAGAAAGAUGUAACACAGAGAAAACCUGCAAUAAAGAAUGCAAGUACUGAACAGAGCUUCAGCCCUGCAAUAUGUAGAACUUGAUGCCUCCUAAACCUCACAGCUAAACCCAGAAAAAACCAGGCGAAGCCUUGUAAUAAAUUCACUAGCCAGCCAUGCAGAGGUAGAAUGGUGUUCUCUUCAAUCAGCUUCUCUCCCAAAAUCCAGAUCCCCAAACCCAGAUAAACAAACCCCAAACUACCAUUAAGAAAGGCUGCAGAAUUUAGCGUUGUGGAAAAGCAUAGAGACCGUUGAGGGGAUAAUAUCUUCAAAGCUGAUGCUUUAUAUAUGAAGAUAAAUAAUAAUAAGAACAAGAGGAUGAUGUCUACAGAAAUGACCAAAAUAUGAUUGAGACAUGAACAUGGACAGAUGAUGGCUAGGAACCCAGAACUGCUUAUCUUUCCAAUUUUACUUGAACACCCGGUACUUCCACAGAAAACAGUCCAGAGACUCUCACCCAUGUUGUAUCUUCUUGCCUGCACAAAACUGUGGCUGUAAUAAAAUAAAAAAAAUAAAAAAAAGAAACAAAAAGCAAAGGGUUAUUUAUUAGAUUUUUGGCGUUUUAGAGUUGGAAGUAGUACUAAACAUGAGAACCAUCAAUGCGUGCCUAAUAGUUUCAGUUCUCAGUGGAACUUAAAAGUUAAAUUUAUCAUACAGGACUGAUCUGAACUUAAUUCACAACCCCAGGUGCCUAAGAUCAGGAGAAAGAAUCCAAGAACAACUGAACUGAGAUUGAAGAGAACUGACCAUAGACAGAGAACAUGAGAAAUUGCAGAAAACAGAUAGGGAGAAUGGGAUCCAAUGGAAAUGAAUCAAACAUGAAAGCAGAAGAUGUGAACAAGAUUCAGGAAACGUAUGCAAAACCCCCCAUUUCUCUGUUUCGUUGUUGAGAAAGAUACUGGAAAAUAAAUGUAAACCUUGAAUCUCAUAACAAGUAAGGGAUGGAGUGGUAGCCUUAAGAUUGCAAAACUUCUUUUCUUAUACCAUGAGUCUCAGUAACCAAACACAACCCACUGAGAUUCCUUGACCAAGCACAGUCUAGGCCUAUUUUCUCAAGCUGAAAGGAUGAGCACAAAAAAACAGGAACAAGAAGAUGAGGCAGUUACCUUAGGAUACGUUGGACAAUGAUGUAAAACCAAACCACAUCUUUUUAUUUAAGCUUUCUGGAAAGGGGACAGGAAUAAUUAUAUAGUAGAAAAGCUUGCAGAAAUAAAUAGAAUCGAAUGGAAAGAAAUUGUUCCUUUUCUUUCGGUCCUAGCUUACACUUUUCCAGGUUCCCAUAAUAAUAGCUAAAGGACCCCUUGAUAGGAUCAAUUCAAGAAAAAGAUGGGAAAAAAAGAAAAGAAGAAAAACAGAGCCCAGAAGAGGAAAAUAGUAGAAAAUUAAUGCUCACAAUGCACUGAGUCAGCCCAACAGAAAAAGAAGUUUUAUAUGAAGGACCCAAGAAUUCAAAGCAAUUAAUGAGGAAACAAACAGAAUGAUGGAGCAACUUCAGAGAGUGAAAACCAUCUUGAACCAAUUAUAGAAUGCACAGAACAUGGGGGUGGUCAAAAUGUUAUGCUGAAGAAGAGAUACAAAAUUCAUAUGGGUAAAAACCAGCAUAGGCCAUCCAGUAUCUCACCAUGCGUCAUCAAAUCAGUCUGCCCUUUUUUUUUCCUUUUUUUUAUUAUUAUUUUUUUAUUUUUAUACGAGCAUAGGUCAUUCAUAGUCUUCUCCGUCUCAUCAAAUCAUGGUGUAGUUUUCACCUUCUACACCUCACUACUGUCUUUUCUUGCAUUAUAAAUGUGUUGUUUCACUGAAAUGACUAAUUGAGUUGUUCUCACGUGUUAGAGUUUUGAGGAAACUUGUGUUUUCAUGACGGUAAAUAUAUGAUUUGAUAACCACAUUUUAAUAUGGAAAGUAAUAUUACCCUUUCACUCUAAGCCCACUCCAUUUUUUAUGUCAAAAUUACGUAUAAAAAAAAAAUUAGGUUAUAGGCGACAGCGAUGGAGUGAUGUGGAGCUGUGACGACCUUGGCACCUUCGGAUUUUUCUUCCACGGGAGCAUCCAAGCCUCCAUGUCCAGAGAUGGGUUUAGCUUCAAUGGUAACGGGGCCGAUGGAUUGAGCGGCAAUGGUUGAAGGAAAAGAAAAAUUCGGAGGUGCCAACAAUUCUAGUUUGAUAUUCAAUUUUUUUUUAACAAAGUUAAAUACAAUAAUGUAAAUUAAUUAAAAACUAAAUAAUUUUUUUUUGAAAAAAAACUUAAAUUACAAAUUCCAAUAUGUUUCCUUUUAAGCAAAAUCGAAAGAUUAAAAAUGGUUUUUAAUUUGUUAACAUUUAUCACAUGGGAUCAUAAAAUGACAGUUUUUUAAGUUCCUUGAUGUAUUCUCAUGAUACCUAAGUUCUUGAUGUAUUCUCAUGAUACACGAAUUUCAUUUGGCAUAACUCAUAAUUUAUGGUAAGCAAAUGCCCACUAUAUGUUAUUUGAGUUUUAUCUUUAUUGGGUUUGAUAUAAAUUAAGGUAAUGUUUAUUUUUUGAUUAAAUAGAAAAAAUCAACAUAUUUGACUUUUUCUAUUUAGCUAAAAGUACAUUGUUGAUAUUAAUCAACUUAACUAAAAUGAAUUUGUUAUCAAAUCUUAAUGUUGUUUGGGUUUUAAUAUGACUUAGAUCUUAAUGUGACUCGGGUUUUAACAUAACUCAAGUUUAAAUGACUUGAUCUUAAUUAAAAAAUAUCUUUUUUUUUUGUUUUGAAUGUCUUGACAAUUCAAAAAGCUUUAUAAGAAUCGAAGAUUCUAUCAUGUCUUAUUAAAAAAAAAAAGAAUCUUUGCAAUUUCAAAUAUUUCCUAUUGGAAUAAUUUAGUGACAACUGAAUAUAUUCUUAGACUCUUGUACUUCCAAAAAAGAAAAACAUGAUAAAAAGAGUUGUAGGUUAACUCAUUCUAAUUUUAUAACAUAAAUUCUAAAUAAAUCAUUAAUUGGUUUAAUUAAUAAAAGGAUGAUUGUUAGCGUCAAUACCACCAAACUUCAUAUCUUUGUGUAAUCAUAGCAAUCAUAGAAAACAUUUUCUAAGAUGACGUCUUUACGUUCAGUAAUACAAAUUGAGCAACACUUCAAACACAUACACAUUUACUCUCUUAAUUACUGGUAUAAAAAAAUUCCUUUGGGUGUGGCUUUUUUUUUCUUCUUUAAAGGACAAAAGAAAAAGCCCUAUUUACUUUUGUACAUUCACUUUAGAAGGUUGUAAGAAAUAAUUGUAGACCGAAACAGCUUUUCUUUCUCCUUUUUUAUUAUUAUUUUUUUAUAUUUUUUUUAUUAAAUGACUAAAGAAAAAGCCCUAUUUACUUUUGUACAUUCACUUUAGAAGGUGAGUUUAAGUAUAAAAUAAUUCAUUUGUUGAAAAAAAAUGGUAAGAAUAGUAAUCACCUUAAAAUAUUUGUCAAACUAAUCUUUUGUAUGCAUGUGAGCAUCCACAUAAUUUUUUUUUUUAAGUGUAAAAAACCACCGUUGGUAAUUGUGGUUUUAAAAGUUUUAAAAAUAUCUUUAAAAUCACAAUUUGUAAUUGUGGUUUUACAAUUUUUCUUAAAAUUACAGUUAGUAAUUGUGGUUUCAAAAUUAUUUUUAAUCUACGCUCGUUUUAAUAGUAUUGUGAUUUUAAUAUUAUUUUUAAAAUAUUCUUUAUCAUAAUAACCAUAAAAAAUAUUUUUUGUCAUAAUAACCAUAAAACCACGGUUAAUAACUGUGGUUUUAAAAAUAUCAUAAAAACCAUAGUCAUAGACAGUGGUUUUACAAUUUUAUUUGUGAUUGUGGUUUUAUAAUUUUCUUUAAAACCAUAGUUAGAAGGGUACUCAUGUAACUAUAACUAAAAAAAAAAAAAAAAGAUUUUAGAACUUUGUUUUUUUAUUUUUAAUUUUAGUAUAAAUUAUGGAUGUACCAAAAUUUCUUAACGAUGAACCAAAUUUCCUUAAAGUUCGUUUCGGAGUGGGGAAAAUUUCUUACAAUUAUCCAUUGUCAAUUUAAAAUUAUUUUUUUGUACAAAUUAUCCUUAAUAAAUUUUUUCAUUACGAAUGUUUUAAAAUUAUAUAUAUAUAUAUAUAUUUAUCUUUAUUUUUCAUAUUUUUCUUGAAAUUUUGAGAAAAUAAUUUGGCCUACAUGCAUUCCCAUAAAAAAUUAUAUAUUUAUGUUAAAUAAAAUAUUUAUUUAAGGAAAUUUGUAAAAAAUAAACUUUAAGAAAAUUUGGUAUAUCGUUAAGAAAAACCUUCAUAAUUUAUACUAAAAUUUAAAAAAAAAAAAACAAAGUUCUAAAAUUUUAUAUUUCUUUUUUAGUUAUGAUUACAUGAGUCACCUUCUAACUGUGGUUUUAAAGAAAAUUGUAAAACCAUAAUCACAAAGAAAACUAUAAAACCAUCGUCUAUGAUUGUGGUUUUUAUGAUAUUUUUAAAUCCAUAGUUACUAACUGUGGUUUAAUGGUUAUUAUGACAAAAAAUAUUUUUUUAUGGUUAUUAUGAUAAAUAAUAUUAAAAUCACAAUCCUAUUAAAACGGGUGUUAAUUAAAAGUAAUUUUGAAACCACAAUUACUAACCGUGGCUUUAAAGAAAAUUGUAAGACACACGGUCUAUAAUUGUGGUUCAAAUAUAUUUUUGAAACUUUUAAAACUACAUUUAUCAAUAGUGGUUUUUUACAUUUAAAAAAGAAAAAUUAUAUGGAUAUAAAAAAUUAAUUUGGUAAAUAUUUUGUGGAUACAAAAGAUUAAUUUGACAAUUAUUAUGAGAUGAGUGUUAUUCUUAUCAUUGUUUUCAACAAAUGGAUUAUUUUGGACUCAAACUGUUAGAAGGUUGUAAUGAAUGAUUGUUGACUGAAACAGCUUUUCCUUUUUCCUUUUCAUCUCCUAAAUGGUCAAAGUGACUUUUAUCUUGAGGCAAAAGUCUCAUCUUUUUCCUCCAUGUGUUAUAUCAAAUUGGGGACCUCAACUUUCCAUAUUCAGUCUCAGAGGUCAUGAUACCAGUUUGGAAAAGCUCCAUUCUGCUAACCUUACACUCUCUUAUCCUAAUCAUAUGCAUUUUGUUCUUAUAUCAAAACCUUGGUCCCACGUCAUGUGUAUAACAAAUGAAUAGAUAAAUCUAAUAUUAUUUUCGAAGGAAUAUUGUUGAUUUUAAAUUAAGAUGGUGUUUAUUUUUUGAUUAAAUAUAAAAAAUCGAAAUAUUUAAUUUUUUCUAUUCAGUUAAAAGUAUUUUAUUGAUAUUAACCAAUUUAAUUAAAAUGAAUUUAUUAUCAAGUCUUAAUGUUGUUUGGACUUUAAUGCGACUUAGGUUUUAAUGUGACUCGAGUUUUAGCAUAACUCAAAUUUAAAUGGCUUGAUGUUAAUUAAAAAAGACCUUUUUUUUUUUUUUUUUUUAAUGUCUUGACAAUUCAAAAAGCUUCAUAAAAAUUGAAGAUUCUAUCAUAAGUCUUAUUAAAAAAAAAAAAAAUCUUUGCAAUUUCAAAUAUUUCCUACUGGAAUAAUUUAGUGACAGCUGAAUAUAUUGUUAGACUCUUGUACUUCCAAAAAAGAAAAACAUGAUAAAAAAAGAUGUAGGUUAACUCAUUCUAAUUUUAUAACAUAAAUUCUAAAUAAAUCAUUAAUUGGUUUAAUUAUUAAAAGGAUGAUUGUUAGCGUCAAUACCACCAAACUUCAUAUCUUUGUGUAAUCAUCGCAAUCAUAGAAAACAUUUUUUAAGAUGACGUCUUUCCAUCCCGUAAUACAAAUUAAAUUAAAUUCUGAAAAUUUUGAAAAAGAAAAUGAAAUAAAGAAGGAAAAAAUAAUGAAAAUUUUAAAAGUAGAUCUUAAAAUAAUAAGUUAUUUUUACUUGUUUCUUCACACUCAUUUAAUUUAUUUAUUUUUAUAUACAAAUUAAAUAAUUUAUAAAAAUGUAUAACACGUGACAUUUGUUAUGUUCCUUCUUAAAGGACAAAAGAAAAAGCCCUAUUUACUUUUAUGCAUUCACUUUAGAAGGCUGUAAGAAAUGAUUGUCGACUGAAACAGCUUUUCUUUCUCCUUUUUAAUUAUUUUUUAUUAUAUUUUUUUAUUAAAUGACUAAAGAAAAAGCCCUAUUUACUUUUGUACAUUCACUUUAGAAGGUUGUAAUGAAUGAUUGUUGACUGAAACAGCUUUUCUUUUUCCUUUUCGUCUCCUGAAUGGUCAAAGUGACCUUUAUCUUGAGGCAAAAGUCUCAUCUUUUCAUUUGGCUCCAUCUUUUUCCUCCACGUGUGAUAUUGAAUUGGGGACCUCCACUUUCUAUAUUCAUAGAUACCAGGCUGGAAAAGCUCCAUUCUCUUAUCCUAACCAUAUGCAUUUUUGUUCUUAUAUUUUAUAUAAAAAUUAUUAUUAUUAUUAUUAUUAUUAUUAUUAUUGUUUUUAAAAACAAAAAAUACAAGUCUAUACAAACAACACCUAACUCCUAACUCUUGGCUAGGAGUUGAGUUUUUAACUCGAUUAAACCUAAGAGAUAUCAGGGAUAGAUACUAUAAAUAACUAAUCAAAAUAAUUAAUUAAAAUAAUAUGCAAUGAGCAUAAGAUUUUUACGUGAAAAACCCUCACAUAAAUUGUGAAGAUAAAAAAAAUUAUGGGUUUGGGACCUCUAAUCUAAAUCCAUUAUUCGGGAUUAAGUUACAUAAAUUUACCUAACUAUUUACCCUAAGACAGUCCAUAACCUACAACUUGAUCCACAUUCGCGAUGUAGUAAUCUCCAAUUGCUCCUAGUGAAUACGCUUCAACCUUGCUAAAGGGAUGUUGGUCUUUAAACAAUCCAAGAUUCAAUACUUUGAAUAUUUGAUGAGAGAUUGGGAAUAGUGUGACAAGGUAGACUUAAUCCCUUGGUGAAUCUCUAACCCUUAAAGGGUUAUAAUGGGGUUUAUAUAUGCAUCCAAGCCCUAGGGGAUUGGUAUCCCAAAGUUUUCAAACUCAAUUUAUGUGAAAUAUUCGAAAAUAUUAUGUCAUAUUUUGGCAUAUUCUAUUUAGGUGCUUGAGCGGUCCCAACGCUUUAGCGCUCUUUCCACUACUCGAGUGGUCCAACUUUUUUCAAAAUGAAUUAAUUUAAACUUUUUAAUUUCUAAAAAAUAUACCAAACAACUUUUAACCCAAAUAACACUUAACUUGUCACAUGUCAAACUUUUUUAGACUUACUUGUGACCUUUUAAUAGAACGAAGAGCAACCUUGAAUCUUUAAUGAAGAGUAAGUCACCAUUUAAAAAGAUUCCUAAGCUAGAAAAUAGAUUGGAACAAAAUUGCCAACAUACGAUGAAAACUCAUUGUCUUAACAUGUACUAAUUGGUUUUUAAAUAAAAUGAUCAAAGCUUAAUCUAAGAAUUAGUAUCAAAACCAAGGUUAUAGCUCGAAUCAUAGGGGCAUCAUGUUUUGAUUUGGGAUGAAUCACCCAAACGAAAAUAAUCCCUCUAUUGAAAGGAUUUUGAGGCACUGGCCAAAAAACCAAGGCCGCUGAACCCAGCUCAGCCUGUCCAGGUCUGAGGCAUGGGCUUCUAGCAGGCCAAAUUUGGACUGUGGAGCCAUCUAUCUUGUGGCUGGCGAUAGACUGUGUGGCAGCAUGUUCUGAGGAUGGUGGGCUAAAGUAAGAAACAAAUUCAAUGGAGAGAAUAACCUAGGUAGUCCUUCAGAAAACUAUUUUCCAUCUCCUCUACUUCCGGAAGGAAGUCACUGAGGGAGCAUGGAAAUGGAUCUGGAGAUUAAAUAAAACUUGAUAAUAGUUUUGUAGAGCUCUACAUUAAGAUGAGAAAUGACCCUAGGAAUGAUCCCAACAAAGGUAGAACACACCUUAGAUGUGAACGAAGUUAACAAACCAUGAAUUCAGAACAUAAAAGAUUAGAAGGUCCUCCCUGUAAUAAUCCAGGAGAGACAGCCAAGAUACUAAGAAACUACAAGAAGCGGUAUCAAUUCUGUGCGCAAAAUAACUUUAGGAUCCAGUCAUCCAAGGUAAUGAAAGAAAGAAAGAAAAGAAAGGGAAAAAAAACCCGGCAAGUUGUGUGCAAAGUUCAGACUGAUGUUGCAAAACAAGACCAACAUGCUAUCUAUCAUAACCAUGACCGGUGGAGGAGUGUUGAGAUACUUGGCUUUAGAUGAAUCAUUUAAUAUUUUUAUUUAAAUAAAUAGAGCGUUUUUCUAUGCAGCAACUGACAGAACUCAAAAGCUAAUAACAGCUUCGGUAACUGAAGCAAAUAAAGGAGAAGGCAAGAGAAUAGGAAGUACACAAACAAGCAACUGGACGAUAGAUGCUACGGUCCAUGACCACUCUUUAAACAAGAGAUUACCAAUAAAACAGGAGCUAAAAACCAUAACAAUCCAGCCCAUCAUGCAGCAACCUCUCCAAAGAUUGUUGAAUGCAAUAACUGAUGGAUAUAUAAGGAAUGCAGAUGGAGCCAGCAGUUAUGGAAAUUUCUCCUUAAAUAAAAUUACCAGAAGGGACCAUGGGCAUGAAUGAUGGCUAGGAGCAGGUAGAAGAUAGACUUGAUGAUCAACUAUUAUUUCAGGUGGAUAAACAUUUGCUUUUUCUGCAUACUCAUUCUUUGCUGAAUCCAAGAUAAAUUCCACCAAAUGCAAGUCAUCUUUCCGACAACGCAAUAAGACAGCAGGUUCCUUCAAUCUGAGUAAAUUCUGCGACACAUAUUGUUAGACUUAUACGUACUAUAUCAAAGGACACAAGACAAUGACUAAAUAUUUUUAUCCUUAUGUCAUGCCAAAACUUGCUAUGAAUUAGAAAAGUUAAAGCUCAUGUUUCGACAUCCUAUGGGGAUUGUAUCAAGCCACUUGUGGUCCACAGCAUUGGGGAGCAACAAACCAAUUAGAGAAAUUGAGCUAUUCCCACAAAUUAUUUAAUGUGAGUUCAGGCUUUCGGGUAGAACUUCAAGAUCUUGGGGGAAAACAUUUAAAAAUGCAAGUCUCAUUGGAGCUCCCCUUUAAAGAAUUUUUAAAAAAUGUACGAGUCCCAGGUGUACAUGAUCUAUGCAGCGAAGGAAAGAAAUUCCAUCCAUUUAUGAAUGUUGAAGCACGUUAGCCAUACCCACAACAAUAUGAUUCUGAUGACGAAGUUAUACCAAAUAAAAUUUUGCCAAAUCAGCUGAGUUUAUACUGACCUGAACCAUAAGAUCUUUCAGAAGCCUUUUAUAGACAUUGUGAUCAUGUCCAGAGACGAUGUUUUGAAAUGCAAUUCAUUGUUGCAUACUGAUACUAUCCACUAGGCAGAACAACAAACCGAAACCCCAAUUCCUCAUAGUGCAAAAACAUACUACUAGCUUUCAAAACCUGUUUAAGUUUCAGAGCCAAUCUCCUGAGGCAUUACUUCCAUUUGAAGAGCGAGACCAGUACUCCUUGACAAGCUGCCCAAACAGUGAUCCCUCCUCCUUUAUCAGCUUCAUCGGCUCAUCGUACUCUACCAAUUUUCCUAUAGAAGCAAAAGCGGUAGUUAUUCAAAUAGGUUUUGCUAUAUUGAUCCCAAUUCCCAACUAGAAUGAAAUGUUCCUUCAUAGAACUCACCAUCACUGAUAGCAAGCACCAUUGUGCAGUCCAUCACGGUUGGGAUUCUGUGGGCUACUGUAAUUACAGUGCAGUCUGCAAAUUCUGUUCUUAUGGUCUUCUGGAGAAUGGAGUCGGUUGCAUUGUCUAUGGAUGCAGUGGCUUCAUCAAGCACUAGUAUCCGACUUCUCCUCAGUAGAGCACGUCCCAAGCAGAAUAAUUGUCGCUGGCCCAUGCUCCAAUUUGAUCCGUCUUGUACAACUGUGGGGGAGACAGAUUGUUAGCAAGAGUUUUCGAGUCCAAAGAAUAGUACCUGUGUGUAUUAUGCUUCAUACCCAAGGAGUCCAGACCCUCUUCUUUCUCUUGAACAGCCCCUCGAAGUUGACAUUUUUCCAGAACCUUUCACAAAUUCAUGAGAAACAAUCUUAGUCUAGGAUAUAAAGUAAAUUUACCUUAUUAGGAAUCUGUUCUUUUUUAAGGCACUACCAUGACAAAUAUUUGGUAUGGAAAGAAAAUUAGGAGGCAUUUAAACGCAUUCUAAAACAUCUUCGUGUUCCAAAACACAGAAUAUCAGGAGCUCGAUUAAUGACAAUGGAAUUCAAAAUCUGACACUUUUUUAAUUAGUUUGAUACAGUAGAAACUGCCAUCUCUAUGCACUUAAGAGUGAAGCCUGCUUCAUAUCACUGGCAGAAUCUUUUAGAAAUCUGUAUCAUAUCAUUGAUUGAAUCUUAAAAUUAGCAACCACAACAAAUUAAUAGGAAACUCACCACCCAUAUUUCCUCAUCAGUAUGCAGUGAUAAGGGGUCAAGAUUGUAUCUUACAGACCCACUAAAGAGAGUUGGUUCUUGCGGAAUGAUCCCAAGACGUGAUCUGAGAUCAUGAAGCCCAAUUGUGGCAAUAUCUAUGCCAUCUAUAAUUAUCUGUCCCUCUGUAGGCUCUACCAAGCGAAACAAAAUGCUGAUAAGUGUUGUCUUUCCACUACCAGUCCGGCCAACGAUCCCAAUUUUCUGUCCUCCUCCAAAUUUGCAACUAAUUCCAUGAAGAACUAGAGGAGCAUUGGGCCGAUACUUGACCUGCUCAAUGUCAUGUCAUCUACUAUAUUAAUCUCUAUAAGUCUUGAAGUUGUAGAACACACACAGAUACUCAAAUUCUUACUGAUUUCACAUUUACCUUCAAAUCAUAAAUUUCCACUUCACCAAUAGUAGGCCAACUGACUGGUGGUCGAUUACUCUCUAUGACUUCAGGGGCUUCGCUAGGAAUAUUCGUGUACUGUUCUAAUCUUUCAACAGAAACAAUCAUAUUUGCUAAAUGGCACUGGUUUUGGACAGAAAACACAAGGAAUACAUUCGCUGAAAGACCAUAAGACAAUGCCAUUCCAAUAAAUCCUGCCAUCAGAACAUUGGCAACGUAAAUGCUCAUUAGACAAUAAUUCCAUAAAUGGUUGUCAAUUACUAAGAUUUCUUUAAAUAUCACAUUGACCAGGUUAUUUUUUAAUAUCAAAUACCGUGCAUGUAGGAAGUUAGUAGAAGGGUUUUUCUUUUGGAUUAUACACUGAUCUGUUUGUAUGAUUAUUGUGUAAGAAUCAUGGACUUGUUAGCUCACUUUGUUCUUGAUAUAACCUGAGUUUCUAGUUAUGAUGUUGAGAAAGUUGGAGCUAAAAUGGGUUGAUUAUAGUGAAUUUUUAUUACUACCAACUGGGCAGCUGUUGUUACGCGAUCUACAAAGCCCUAUCUUGUAUUCAUUUCACUCUACCCAAGGUCAAGUAGGAAACUAUUAUAGUUAACUUUCCUAUUUAAUGUUGGAUAUUUUUAUUGGAUUUUAGGUCAUCACUGAAUUGCCUCUAAUUAUUUCAUCCUUUUGAGGUUCCUUCUUUUCAGUGAGAAAUAUGAAAAUUUAGUGGAGGCCCUCGGUUGCUCAUCUCCUUUUUCAGUUAAAAGCAUAUGCUAGCUAGCAAGCAGUCAUGGCAGGCAACAGAAAAGUUUUUUUUUUUAUCUUAAAGUUCUGGUCCUUUUAGAGAAUUUACUAUUUGUGCCCUUAAUCAUACACUUCAUAUUUAUCAUUUUCCGGCUGUAGAUCUUACCUAUUGAAAAAUCCUAAUGGUAUCCUCUUGUAAGGAUCAAAAUUCACAUGGUCAAUUACUAUUCUAAAAGUUGCAUAGCCCCCUUAGGUUAAACAUGUUAUAAACUUCUAGGGAGUUAAACUGUUGAAAUUGGAGCAAAGAGAGAGUUUUAAGCAACUGCAAUGACAAUGAAGAUUCUGGCAUGGACCUUCUAAUUUCGCGUCCAUUCUCAUUGGUCAAGCCUCUUGAGUAAUUCAAGCUAUCUUGGAUUUCGCCCAGUUUGUUGCAUCAACUAAUGGAUAGUUGAGUAUGCAAAGUUAGGGACAGGAAGGACCUAUAAUUUCGAUGGUGUCUUGACUUUACAGUUUGGUACCCUCAUGGAAUCCUUUGGGAAAGAAAAAGAUACAGAGUACUUUUGGUGUUUUUCUUUUGGAGAUGGAAAGUUUUGUUAUUGGCAUUCACAAAUGGGGUAAAAUUGCAGAUCUCUAGAUGAUAUUGGGCAUGCUAGUUUUGGUAAGGCCAGUGAUGCAGGUGGCUACUAUGAGAUAAAACUUCAAGUUGCUGCAAGUUAAAAAUGCAAUAGGGGGAGGGGAAGGUUGAAUAUAAAAUAGGUGGAAUUCAUAAGAUAGAUCAAAAUAUCACAUAUUAAAUGGUGACUUGUCUUACUAUUAGGCAAAAUGGCUGGAUAGGAUCCUUGUAAUUAAACCAAGGUUGUGAUUCAAAUGGUACUUCUAGGGGAACAAAUUUACGAUUUGAUCUUAGAGAAUUGACAGUUAGAAAUGUUCAAGCAAACUAACAAAUUCAAAUGUAAUAGGGCUGUGUAAACUAGUGAGAAACAAUUGUAUAUUUGAGAUGAAAAACACCUACCAGAUUUAGAAGUACUCGUAUGAAGCAAAGUUAGGGCAAGGCCUGAAGAUGAGAGAACGAUUGCAGAUAGUAUUUCAAGGCGUAGGAUCAACCACUCAUUUGCUGUGAAACUAUAGAAGAAUGGACUUGCAUUCAUGUCAAUGAAGCCCAAAUUCUUUGAAAAGUGUCUAUCUUCCUCCCCGAAAGCUCUAAUUGUCAUAGCUCCAGCAAUGGACUCAGAAAGAUGGCUUGCAACAAAGGACUUAGUCGUGCCAUUGAUUCGCAUCAACUCUUUUCCAGCAGCAAAGUAGUACCUCUGGUUGUUAAAAUGAAAACAGACAUGAUCAAUUGCUGAGAGGCCAAGAGAAGUACAAAAUAUCUUACAAGGAAGACACGCCUAAAUGAGGAGGGAAGCAGCUGCCUCUACUACAUCUAAGAAAACAUCAGACAGCAGUGUAUUACCUGGAUGAGUAUACUUAGAUAAAUUGUUGGUAAAAUGACAAACACAAGUUCCCAGGCAAGAAUAGUCAAUACUCCAAAAUUGGCAUAAGCAUUCAUAGUUGUCCCGACAGCAACAGUAAAUUUGAAGGCCACAUCAAGGUCAACCACACUCAAAUCAGAAGAUACCUACAAAAAGCAAUAAAAAAAAUAAGUGUUUUGUUCUUUGUAGUAAGCAUUUAUUUUAAGCAUCUUACCCGACUGAGUAUCCUUCCCAGAGGUGUUGAGUCAUAAAAGGACAUUGGUGCUCGAAAAAGAGAGCUCAGCAGUGUAGAAAAUAUAGAUUGUGAUGCCCCAAGGCCUAAAAGAACAACAAAAAAAGAACGGAGCAAUAAAAAGAGUGAUAAGCUUAAUCCGAUCCCUGUGUAUACUGUAAUCAGUUUCAAUUGGCUAACACUAGAAUUGUGGAUAUUUGCAGCCAACCAAUAGUUUUGCACCAACUGCUCAACAAUGAAUGUGAUAUGAGAUAGAGUUGCCAAAAAGAAGUACAAGAAUCCCUUGCUGUAUUUCAAGUAUUGUAGGUAAGGCUUGAGACCGGUGUCUCCUGUUUCUCUUUCUUCUUUCUUAAUUAAUUGCUCUCCUGAUGUUUCUCUUAAUUGUUUUUCGGUGUAAAUCUUCUGUAUCUCUCCCUUCUGAAUUUUAGAUUUCUGGGUAGAAUCAUGCUCAGGUUGCCUCUCAGAACGAACUGUGGCAUUGUGUGCAUUGACAAGGUCCUGGAACUCUUGACUAGAGUGCAUCAGUUGCUCAAAGGUAGCAGCUUGCAGGAUCUCCCCUUCGGACAUUAACUGCCAACAGAAUUAGUCAUUUGGACUGCUUGAUUUAAAAGCAUGUGUUACUCAAGGAUUGCCUUCCAGAUGAUGGAAAUUAUUUGUUAAGAAAGGAAAAUGAAGUCAAAUGAGAGUUAAAGAACGAUAUCCAAGAAAGUAACUGUACUAACCAGAACCGAAUCAAAUGCAGGAAGGAAGUCCACCUGGUGGGUC